rnacentral:rRNA from 1 species
AAUCCAUAGGUUAAUGAGGCGAACCGGGGGAACUGAAACAUCUAAGUACCCCGAGGAAAAGAAAUCAACCGAGAUUCCCCCAGUAGCGGCGAGCGAACGGGGAGGAGCCCAGAGCCUGAAUCAGCAUGUGUGUUAGUGGAAGCGUCUGGAAAGGCGCGCGAUACAGGGUGACAGCCCCGUACACAAAAGCGCAUGUGCUGUGAGCUCGAUGAGUAGGGCGGGACACGUGGUAUCCUGUCUGAAUAUGGGGGGACCAUCCUCCAAGGCUAAAUACUCCUGACUGACCGAUAGUGAACCAGUACCGUGAGGGAAAGGCGAAAAGAACCCCAGCGAGGGGAGUGAAAAAGAACCUGAAACCGUGUACGUACAAGCAGUGGGAGCACCCUUUGGGUGUGACUGCGUACCUUUUGUAUAAUGGGUCAGCGACUUAUAUUCUGUAGCAAGGUUAACCGAAUAGGGGAGCCGGAGGGAAACCGAGUCUUAACCGGGCGUUAAGUUGCAGGGUAUAGACCCGAAACCCGGUGAUCUAGCCAUGGGCAGGUUGAAGGUUGGGUAACACUAACUGGAGGACCGAACCGACUAAUGUUGAAAAAUUAGCGGAUGACCUGUGGCUGGGGGUGAAAGGCCAAUCAAACCGGGAGAUAGCUGGUUCUCCCCGAAAGCUAUUUAGGUAGCGCCUCGUGAAUUCAUCUCCGGGGGUAGAGCACUGUUUCGGCUAGGGGGCCAUCCCGGCUUACCAACCCGAUGCAAACUGCGAAUACCGGAGAAUGUUAUCACGGGAGACACACGGCGGGUGCUAACGUCCGUCGUGAAGAGGGAAACAACCCAGACCGCCAGCUAAGGUCCCAAAGUCAUGGUUAAGUGGGAAACGAUGUGGGAAGGCCCAGACAGCCAGGAUGUUGGCUUAGAAGCAGCCAUCAUUUAAAGAAAGCGUAAUAGCUCACUGGUCGAGUCGGCCUGCGCGGAAGAUGUAACGGGGCUAAACCAUGCACCGAAGCUGCGGCAGCGACACUGUGUGUUGUUGGGUAGGGGAGCGUUCUGUAAGCCUGUGAAGGUGUGUCGUGAGGC